AUUGAACGCUGGCGGCAAGCCUAACACAUGCAAGUCGAACGAGAGGCGGACGGGUGAGUAAUGGCUGGGAAACUGCCUGAUGGAGGGGGAUAACUACUGGAAACGGUAGCUAAUACCGCAUACCAUCGGAUUUGCCCAGAUGGGAUUAGCUAGUAGGUGGGGGAAAGGCUCACCUAGGCGCAAAACACUAGCUGGUCUGAGAGGAUGACCAGCCACACUGGAACUGAUACACGGUCCAGACUCCUACGGUAGGGAGCAGUGGGGAAUAUUGCACAAUGGGCGCAAGCCUGAUGCAGCCAUGCCGAGUGUAUGAAGAAGGCUUUCGGGUUGUAAAGUACUUUCAGCGGGGAGGCGUUACCCGCAGAAGAAGCACCGGCUAACUCCGUGCCAGCAGCCGCGGUAAUAC
rnacentral:rRNA from 1 species